rnacentral:tRNA from 1 species
GCCGGUUUACCUGUGUCCGAGUGGUUAAGGAGAUUGACUAGAAAUCAAUUGGGCUCUGCCCGCGUAGGUUCGAAUCCUGCUGACUGCG